CCUACGGGAGGCAGCAGUGGGGAAUUUUGGACAAUGGGCGCAAGCCUGAUCCAGCCAUUCCGCGUGAGUGAAGAAGGCCUUCGGGUUGUAAAGCUCUUUCGCAAGGGAAGAAAACUUACACAAUAAUACUGUGUGAGGCUGACGGUACCUUGAUAAGAAGCACCGGCUAACUACGUGCCAGCAGCCGCGGUAAU
rnacentral:rRNA from 1 species